rnacentral:lncRNA from 1 species
UGGAACUAGAUGAUUGUAGCUCUUAGUUGUAGAAGGUGGAUGCAAGUGUCUGGGUGCGAUGACCCAUAGAUAUUGCAUUGCUCUGAAAAUUAUCAGUACAUUGCAUAGAUGAAUGGAUGUCACUCCUUACAUUAUUGUUUUGAACUUCUGUACUAACUUACUGACGCAUCAAGUAACAACUAUCCUCUGUUUGUGGUCACCCCUUUGCCUAGUAACUUAUUUCCUUAUGAUUUUUUGAUUGUCUUACUAUCCAGUACAGUAACAAUUUGCUCCCUAACUUGUUUGUCCAUACCUUAUCAUUUUAGUCUCUUUCAUUAUGUUAGGUUUUUGGGAAGAAUUAAACGAACAUCAUCAGUGCAACAUAGAGGCUGAAGCAGGUGGUUGAGGUAUCACUCAAUUUCAAGAAAUUGAAUAAGAUUCUUCCAAGUGAAACGGCACUAUUCCCUUUCAUAUUUUGUUCUAUGCACAUGAACCUAGAAAUUAAAUAUUGAUCAACACCUGAUGGAGGACUUGUUUUUCUAGUUCGCAAUUCAUUCUUAUUAGGAACAAAAUUCAAGAUCACGUAUCUGUGAGAUAUGCAAGAGCCUCUAAUCAAGGUAUUUUUACUUUUGCCUUCACCAUCAUCCCCAAAGUUUUAUCAGGAAUAAUUGUUAGUCAAGUUUUCUCUUGUAUAUUUGAAAUAUAUCAUGCUAUAUCCAGUGUGCCCAAGAGCAUGAGAUCAACAUUAUUGAGCCAGUAGUUGCUAUGUUGGUUUAGUCUAAACACAACCUCUUUGUAUUUCUUUGGGGUCUUUUAUUGUCUCACCAUGAUGUGCAGUUCUCAUGCUGUUACAUUAUGGAAUAAUUGCAUAACGUCGGCUUUUUUAGUCUUAUGGAGAUGAUGAUGUCUCUGCCCAUUUUUCUUGAACAUUUGAAAUGGAUAGACUUAAGAGUAUUGACAUUGGUAGUGUGAUUUCUUGCAAGAAGUCUCUAAUGUGCUCAGGAAGUUAGCUGAUAAUUAUGUCAAACUAAUCCAGAAGCAUGUUCUCAGGCUGUCAUUUAAAUGGAUUUUGUCAGCUGCAUGAUUUGUAUCAAAUCUGCGAUAUGAUGCUAGAACAAAUUACUUCAUUAUUAGUCUAUGAGCUGUAAAAGUGGGUAACUUUGCUGAGACAAAAACAAGUUGGGUAGAUAUGCCAAUGUUAUUGCGAGAAACCGAGAUACCAAAUAGGUUAUGCUCAUUAUAUCUGAUACAUAUUGUUCCUGUUUCUUGUUUCCUUUUUGUAGCAAACUGUUGACACUUGCACAUUUUUACAAGUUCUAUUAAAUGUCCACUGCAGGGUAACCUUGAAGGGAAGAUUGCAACUUAAGCUGCAACUAAAGAUUAUAGAAAAUGAGGUCUCUCUUGUGUAUAUUUAGUUGAUGCACUUGUGUGUUUUUAGAUGUUGCACCUCUGUUUCCAUUGACCUUCGAUUCAUGUACGUAAAUUCUAUGGAACUGUAUCCGAAGACAUGUGAAUUUGUAUCUCUGGUUGAUGGAAACAAUUGAUAGUGAUGUUUCUAUGUUAUAAAUAUUCUGAGUUAUGGAAUAGUUAUGUAUAAAACCAUUGAUAUUUUUUUU